GGGAAGGAUGAGAAGCUUCGACCAAGGUUCGACUCGAGCGCCAGCGAGAGAGCGUUGCCGCAGGCAACGACCCGAAGGGCGAAGCGCGCAGCGCUGAGUAAUCCUUCCCCCACCACCA
rnacentral:sRNA from 1 species